GUGCUGGGAAUGUCAAACAACUACGAAACAGUAUCAGAAAACAUCAAAUAUUUUUUGUCGUAAUCCUGCUUCAAACUAUCAAGAGCCUUCUAAUCAUUUUCUGCACGCCUUAUCUGUUACCAAUGCAUCGUCAACGGGACAUGACAAUUUAUUUUAGGCAGAUGUGAUGAAUGAUGCUGGUUACUCCUAUCCCUCCUCUGUAUUCGCUGAGUUUCGGGUUCUUUAAGUGCAGAGAUGUACAGAGCCUUUGUGAUAACGCAUAUAUCGGUUUUGGCGCUUUCUUUUAAUUCAAGAAGGUCGAAAAGUAAUGCACUGGGAUAAGACAAUGGUUAGCCCAUAUACUGCAGGGUAUGCAAAAACUAUGCCGUCACAAAGUUCAACGUAAUUGAUUUACAAAAGAACGAAAAAACGAGAAAUUUCCACAAAAAAUCUGUAUCCGCUUCAAUAGAUAAAUGGUCAAUGGCAGGAACGGAAAAGUUGACAAUUAUUAUGCCAUUGUACACAUCAAAAUGUUUUCCAAAAACUAUGUAUGGGCAUCAGAGGGUUAACGCAGCGAAACAAACACAAAUUAUGCUGCCAAUGCACACAAGCAAACGCCGCCAAUUUAUGCACAAUUGCCGCAACGAUAACGUUACCGAAGUAUUGGCAGCACCAAUAAGCGGUACUUCGCAAAAGAGAAUUGAAAACAGCGGCAAUGACCGGUGCGUCUGAUUAGCGAGUACAGUAAACCCUCAUCAAUUUUCACUUUUCUUCAUUUCACCAAUAUUCCACAUAUAACUAUU